rnacentral:rRNA from 1 species
GAUGAACGCUGGCGGCGUGCCUAAUACAUGCAAGUCGAGCGAACAGACGAGGAGCUUGCUCCUCUGACGUUAGCGGCGGACGGGAGAGUAACACGUGGAUAACCUACCUAUAAGACUGGGAUAACUUCGGGAAACAGGAGCUAAUACCGGAUAACAUACUGAACCGCAUGGUUCAAUAGUGAAAGACGGUUUUGCUGUCACUUAUAGAUGGAUCCGCGCCGCAUUAGUUAGUUGGGAAGGUAACGGCUUACCCAGGCGACGAUGCGUAGCCGACCUCAGAGGGUGAUCGGCCACACUGGAAGUGAGACACGGUCCAGACUCCUACGGGAGGCAGCAGUAGGGAAUCUUCCGCAAUGGGCGAAAGCCUGACGGAGCAACGCCGCGUGAAUGAUGAAGGUCUUCGGAUCGUAGAACUCUGUUAUUAGGAAAGAACAAACGUGUAAGUAACUAUGCACGUCUUGACGGUACCUAAUCAGAAAGCCACGGCUAACUACGUG